GAUGAACGCUGGCGGCGUGCCUAAUACAUGCAAGUCGAGCGAACAGACGAGGAGCUUGCUCCUCUGACGUUAGCGGCGGACGGGUGAGUAACACGUGGAUAACCUACCUAUAAGACUGGGAUAACUUCGGGAAACCGGAGCUAAUACCGGAUAAUAUAUUGAACCGCAUGGUUCAAUAGUGAAAGACGGUUUUGCUGUCACUUAUAGAUGGAUCCGCGCCGCAUUAGCUAGUUGGUAAGGUAACGGCUUACCAAGGCAACGAUGCGUGGCCGACCUGAGAGGGUGAUCGGCCACACUGGAACUGAGACACGGUCCAGACUCCUACGGGAGGCAGCAGUAGGGAAUCUUCCGCAAUGGGCGAAAGCCUGACGGAGCAACGCCGCGUGAGUGAUGAAGGUCUUCGGAUCGUAAAACUCUGUUAUUAGGGAAGAACAAAUGUGUAAGUAACUAUGCACGUCUUGACGGUACCCAAUCAGAAAGCCACGGCUAACUACGUG
rnacentral:rRNA from 1 species